GCGCUGGUGGUUCAGUGGUAGAAUUCUCGUCUGCCACGCGGGAGACCGGGGUUCGAUUCCCCGCUAGCGCA
rnacentral:tRNA from 1 species